CUUGCUUUCCCACGAUCGCUGCGUGUUGCCUGCGGGGGUUGCAUUGCUAAAACGGCUCCCCUCCCUUUUGAGAAACCGGGCUUUGCUGCCGAACCGGCUGGCUUAAGCCAGGCAGCUGCUGUGCGAAACCAGUAAGCCAGGAUUCAGCGCAGGAGAUGGCGCGGAAAGAAACCUGUUUCUCCUGCCUUUGAUGAGCCUUGCCAGACCUCCAGGAGUCGGGAAGCAAGUGAGGUGGUUCUUGCUCAUGCGAUGGAUCCUGCAAAUGCAAAAACUGCAAGUGUACUUCGUGUAAAAAAAGCUGCUGUUCCUGCUGCCCAGCCAGCUGUGACAACUGUGCAAAGGGCUGUGUCUGCAAAGACCCUUCUCUGAACA